rnacentral:rRNA from 1 species
AGAGUUUGAUCCUGGCUCAGGAUGAACGCUGGCGGUAUGCCUUAUACAUGCAAGUCGUACGAGAGUUUUUAACUCUAGUGGCGGACGGGUGAGUAACACGUAAGAAUUUGCCUUUAGGAGGGGGACAACAACUGGAAACGGUUGCUAAUACCCCAUAUGCUUUCGAGUGAAAUGGAUUUCCGCCUAAAGAGAAGCUUGCGGCUGAUUAGCUUGUUGGUAGGGUAAUGGCCUACCAAGGCGACGAUCAGUAUCUGGUUUGAGAGGACGAUCAGACACACUGGAACUGAGACACGGUCCAGACUCCUACGGGAGGCAGCAGUAGGGAAUUUUCCGCAAUGGGCGAAAGCCUGACGGAGCAAUACCGCGUGAGGGAUGACUGCCUAUGGGUUGUAAACCUCUUUUUUCAGGGAGGAAUAAAUGACGUGUACCUGAAGAAUAAGCAUCGGCUAACUCCGUGCCAGCAGCCGCGGUAAGACGGAGGAUGCAAGUGUUAUCCGGAAUCACUGGGCGUAAAGCGUCUGUAGGUGGCUCGACAAGUCAACUGUUAAAUCUUGAAGCUCAACUUCGAAAUCGCAGUCGAAACUAUCGAACUAGAGUAUAGUAGAGGUAAAGGGAAUUUCCAGUGGAGCGGUGAAAUGCGUAGAGAUUGGAAAGAACACCGAUGGCGAAGGCACUUUACUGGGCUAUUACUGACACUCAGAGACGAAAGCUAGGGUAGCAAAUGGGAUUAGAUACCCCAGUAGUCCUAGCCGUAAACAAUGGAUACUA